rnacentral:lncRNA from 1 species
GGAGGCCGCGGCGGGGGGAGCGGCCCGAGGAGGACGCGGAGCUCUGCCCGCCCCGGGAGCGGAGCCGGCCCGAGCCGGGACUCCCCCCGCCCCCAUCCGCCGCGCCGGGCGGGGGCCUGGCGCCAGGUCGGGGAAGGCGCUCCAAAGGCUCUCGGAGACCGUGGCGGCCCGGCGGCGCCGGUUGCCCAGCGCACCGGGAGCGGCAAUCCGAGGGCUCCCGGAGAUGUCUUCGCGGGUGGGUGACCUUUUGGAGAGAAUAUCCGCCAUAUAAUUCAUCAGUCCGAAAGGAGCGUUCUCGCCACAGGCAGGUACGAAGGAAUGAAGAAAAGAGCACAGGAGACUUUAAAGGAAUUCUCAGAAGCAGAGAGCAGGGGACACAGACAAGUAUCCUGCUCUCUGUAGCCACAGGAUGAAGAUAAGAGAUUGGAGAUGUAGUUAAAAACGUUUUGCAACAACUUCAACAGCAACGGCUACUCAACCGUAGCGCAGAGGAGAGCAACUGGCUCCAUGGCACUGGUGUCCUGACUACCAGUAGGGAUACAACAGUUGAAAAGGCACAGGUUUUACCUCAAAAAUAAACAUUUCAAACAAUUUAUACGUGUGCA